GACGACGUGGCGGAGUGGUUAACGCGAAUACGCCGCUAUGUAUUCCUCAUCGAGGGCGCAGGUUCGACUCCUGCCGUUGUCG